GGGGGCGAUCGGAAUUGACCGGAUGCUGUCACGACGGUGGUGGCGUGCCGAGGGCCGGGUGGCCUCGCUAAAAACCCGGAAAAACCUUAAGUGCCAACAAGCACUACGCUUUGGCUGCCUAAAGUGCAGUCACGUCAAGGGUCCUGAGCCUGUGGGGGCCGGCGACGCCAUAUAACAGGCUGGCUGCGUGCGGUUGUUCGGCCCGCCCGCGGUGAGAAACAGUCGAACUGGCUGUGGCGCAUCCUGGUCGUUGGAGACGUUCAUGGCGAGAUCAAAUAACGACCUACGCACGUAGAAGCCAUCGCCGGGGUAUCGCGGGACGCGGGUUCGAUUCCCGCCGCCUCCACCA
rnacentral:tmRNA from 1 species